AUGCUCAUUUCAGCAGUACAUGUACAAAAACUGGCCCUUUACAGAGAAGAUAAGCAUGGCCCCUGCAUAAGGAUGGCAUGCAAAUUUGUGAACUGUUCCGUAUUUUU
ensembl:snRNA U6 U6 spliceosomal RNA